GACGUAGGGUGCGAGCGUUGUCCGGAAUUAUUGGGCGUAAAGAGCUCGUAGGCGGUCUGUCGCGUCGAAUGUGAAAACCCGGGGCUCAACUCCGGGCUUGCAUUCGAUACGGGCAGGCUAGAGUUCGGUAGGGGAGUCUGGAAUUCCUGGUGUAGCGGUGAAAUGCGCAGAUAUCUGGAGGAACACCGGUGGCGAAGGCGGGACUCUGGGCCGAUACUGACGCUGAGGAGCGAAAGCGUGGGGAGCGAACAGG
rnacentral:rRNA from 1 species